rnacentral:rRNA from 1 species
AGACUUUGAUCCUNGCUCAGGAUGAACGCUAGCGGCAGGCUUAAUACAUGCAAGUCGAGGGGCAGCACAGGUAGCAAUACUGGGUGGCGACCGGCAAACGGGUGCGGAACACGUACAGAACCUUCCUUUAAGUGGGGAAUAGCCCAGAGAAAUUUGGAUUAAUACCCCGUAACAUUAUGAAGUGGCAUCACCUUAUAAUUAUAGAUUUAUCGCUUAGAGAUGGCUGUGCGGCUGAUUAGGUAGUUGGCGGGGUAACGGCCCACCAAGCCUGCGAUCAGUAACUGGUGUGAGAGCACGACCAGUCACACGGGCACUGAGACACGGGCCCGACUCCUACGGGAGGCAGCAGUAAGGAAUAUUGGUCAAUGGACGAAAGUCUGAACCAGCCAUGCCGCGUGAAGGAUGAAGGUCCUCUGGAUUGUAAACUUCUUUUAUCUGGGACGAAACACUCUUAUUCUUAAGAGCUUGACGGUACCAGAGGAAUAAGCACCGGCUAACUCCGUGCCAGCAGCCGCGGUAAUACGGAGGGUAGCAAGCGUUAUCCGGAUUCACUGGGUUUAAAGGGUGCGUAGUGGGUCUGUAACGUCAGUGGUGAACAUCUCCGGGCUUAACCGGAAACUGCCAUUGAUAACUAUAGGUCUUGAAUUUUCUGGAGGUAAGCGGAAUAUGUCAUGUAGCGGUGAAA